UAAUACGUAGGCAGCGAGCGUUGUUCGGAGUUACUGGGCGUAAAGGGUGCGUAGGCGGUGACCUAAGUUUGGUGUGAAAUCUCCCGGCUCAACUGGGAGGGUGCGCCGAAGACUGGGUUGCUAGAGUGCCGGAGAGGUAAGCGGAAUUCCUGGUGUAGCGGUGAAAUGCGUAGAGAUCAGGAGGAACACCUGUGGUGUAGACAGCUUACUGGACGGUGACUGACGCUGAGGCACGAAAGCGUGGGUAGCAAACAGGAUUAGAUACCCUGGUAGUCCACGCCCUAAACGAUGCAUACUUGGUGUGGGCAGUUCAUUCUGUCUGUGCCGGAGCUAACGCGUUAAGUAUGCCGCCUGGGGAGUACGGUCGCAAGGCUG
rnacentral:rRNA from 1 species